rnacentral:rRNA from 1 species
AAUCCAGCCAUGCCGCGUGUGUGAAGAAGGCCUUAUGGUUGUAAAGCACUUUAAGCGAGGAGGAGGCAGCUCUCAUAGUUAAUACCUAAGAUGCAGUGGACGUUACUCGCAGAAUAAGCACCGGCUAACUCUGUGCCAGCAGCCGCGGUAAUACAGAGGGUGCGAGCGUUAAUCGGAUUUACUGGGCGUAAAGCGUACGUAGGCGGCUUUUUAAGUCGGAUGUGAAAUCCCUGAGCUUAACUUAGGAAUUGCAUUCGAUACUGGGAAGCUAGAGUAUGGGAGAGGAUGGUAGAAUUCCAGGUGUAGCGGUGAAAUGCGUAGAGAUCUGGAGGAAUACCGAUGGCGAAGGCAGCCAUCUGGCCUAAUACUGACGCUGAGGUACGAAAGCAUGGGGAGCAAACAGGAUUAGAUACCCUGGUAGUCCAUGCCGUAAACGAUGUCUACUAGCCGUUGGGGCCUUUGAGGCUUUAGUGGCGCAGCUAACGCGAUAAGUAGACCGCCUGGGGAGUACGGUCGCAAGACUAANACUCAAAUGAAUUGACGGGGGCCCGCACAAGCGGUGGAGCAUGUGGUUNAAUUCGAUGCAACGCGANGAACCUUACCUGGUCUUGACAUAGUAGAAACUUUCCAGAGAUGGAUGGGUGCCUCGGGNANUCUACAUACAGGUGCUGCAUGNCUGUCGUCAGCUCGUGUCGUGAGAUGUGG